rnacentral:rRNA from 1 species
UACAGGGGGUGCAAACGUUGCUCGGAAUUAUUGGGCGUAAAGCGCGUGUAGGCGGCCAGAAAAGUCCGCUGUGAAAACUCGAGGCUCAACUUCGAGCUGUCGGUGGAAACUUUCUGGCUAGAGUCCGGAAGAGGAGAAUGGAAUUCCGGGUGUAGCGGUGGAAUGCGUAGAGAUCGGCAGGAACACCCAGGGGGAAACCAGCCGACUGGGCAUCUGCUGACGCUGAGGUGCGAGAGCGUGGGGAGCGAACCGG